GUGCUCACUUUGCAGCACGAGUACUAAACAUCGGAACACAGAGAAGAUUAGCAAGGCCCCUGCGCAAGGAUGAUACACAAAUUCAUGACACGUUCCAUUAAAAG
rnacentral:snRNA from 1 species